UACGAAGGGGGCUAGCGUUGUUCGGAAUUACUGGGCGUAAAGCGAGUGUAGGUGGUUGUCCAAGUUGGAUGUGAAAGCCUUGAGCUCAACUCAAGAAAUGCAUUCAGGACUGGGCGGCUAGAGGACCGGAGAGGAUAGUGGAAUUCCCAGUGUAGUGGUGAAAUACGUAGAGAUUGGGAAGAACACCAGUGGCGAAGGCGGCUUCCUGGCCUGUUCUUGACGCUGAGGCGCGAAAGCUAGGGGAGCAAACGGG
rnacentral:rRNA from 1 species